GACGGGGCCCGGCGACAAGCGGAGGAACAUGUGGUUUAAUUCGAUGAUACGCGAGGAACCUUACCCGGGCUUGAAAUGCAUCUGACCGGCCUUGAAAGAGGCACUCCCUUCGGGGCAGAUGUGUAGGUGCUGCAUGGUUGUCGUCAGCUCGUGCCGUGAGGUGUCGGCUUAAGUGCCAUAACGAGCGCAACCCUCAUCAUUAGUUACCAUCAGGUAAGGCUGGGGACUCUAAUGAGACUGCCAUCGUAAGAUGUGAGGAAGGUGGGGAUGACGUCAAAUCAGCACGGCCCUUACGUCCGGGGCGACACACGUGUUACAAUGGGUGGUACAAAGGGCAGCUACCUGGCGACAGGAUGCUAAUCUCGAAAACCGCUCUCAGUUCGGAUCGGAGUCUGCAACUCGACUCCGUGAAGCUGGAUUCGCUAGUAAUCGCGCAUCAGCCACGGCGCGGUGAAUACGUUCCCGGGCCUU
rnacentral:rRNA from 1 species